AAUCAGCAAAAGCUAUUAGUAAGCCUGCCUUAUGUUAAUUGGAUAAUAUCCAAUGGUUGUGCAGCUGUAUUUUCUUAGCAGUGUGUGCCUCUCAGAGCCACUAAAAUCUAAAUGAAGUGUAUUUGUCAUACUGCAGUCCUAUAGGAUUAAUAGAAUUUGGGUUCAUUUGAGCUGAUGUAUUCCAGCAAUAUUAAGUUACCAAUGUUUGUUUUAUUGUCCUUUGUUCUUUUUUCCCCCUAGCUUUGUAAGCCUCAUAUCUAAUUUUUUUGGAAACUCAGCUGAGAUAUGACAAGUAUUUCUGGCCAAUGUUACUAGUUCUGGCAGAUUUGAAAAGUUCUUGGCAGCCUUUAUAGAUGAACUAUGAAAUCUUUUUUAAAUGUUUGCAAAUCAUUUGUAUCCCUAAUAAAUGGAAGAAGGGAGUCAGCCACAGAAAUAACGAGGGAUGGCAUGUUUAUAGUAAGAGAAAAGCUGUAAUAUUCCUCGAAAACGAGG